CCUACGGGAGGCUGCAGUGAGGACUAUUGGUCAAUGGGCGCGAGCCUGAACCAGCCAAGUAGCGUGAAGGAUGACUGCCCUACGGGUUGUAAACUUCUUUUAUAAAGGAAUAAAGUGAGGCACGUGUGCCUUUUUGGAUGUACGUUAUGAAUAAGGAGCGGCGAACUCCGUGCCAGCAGCCGCGGUAAUACGGAGGAUCCGAGCGUUCUCCGGAUUUAUUGGGUUUAAAGGGAGCGUAGAGGGGUUGUUAAGUCCGUUGUGAAAGUUUGCGGCUCAACCGUACAAUUGCAAUUGAUACUGGCAGUCUUGAGUACAGUUGCGGUCGGCGGCCUUCGUGGUGUAGCGGUG
rnacentral:rRNA from 1 species